CUGGCUUGGAAAACUUGAAAUGUGAGGAUUUGUUUAGAGAAAUGAAAUCCAUCAGGCUGUUCCUGCGUAUGCACUUGUAAAGACUUUCUGUUGGAUGAGUAAAGAGGCCUAAGAGUGCUGUUUCCAGCUUAUUUUACACUCGGUGCUAUACAGCUGAUACAGGUUAUUAACAUCCUGCAGCAAGUCAUCACUUCAGCCUAAAGAUUUGUG